rnacentral:rRNA from 1 species
GACGAACGCUGGCGGCGUGCCUAAAACAUGCAAGUCGAACGGUGUAGCAAUACACAGUGGCGAACGGCGGAGUAAUACAUGAACAACGUGCCCUAAAGACUGGGAUAGUCAGCCGAAAGGCUGGGUAAUACCGGAUGUGGCCCUUGAUUGGCAUCAAUUGAGGAUUAAACAGUUUUUUGCUUUAGGAGCGGUUCAUGGCCUAUCAGGUAGUUGGUGAGGUAACGGCCCACCAAGCCUACGACGGGUAGCGGGUCUGAGAGGACGAUCCGCUCGAGUGGGACUGAGACACGGCCCACACACCUACGGGUGGCAGCAGUUGGGAAUCUUGCACAAUGGGGGAAACCCUGAUGCAGCGACGCCGCGUGGAGGAUGAAGGAUCUAGGUCUGUAAACUCCUUUUGUUGGGAAAGACUUAGGACGGUACCCAACGAAUAAGCACCGGCUAACUACGUGC